rnacentral:rRNA from 1 species
UACGAAGGGGGCUAGCGUUGCUCGGAAUCACUGAGCGUAAAGGGCGCGUAGGCGGCCUGAUAAGUAGGGGGUGAAAUCCUGUGGCUCGACUGCAGGGCUGCCUCCUAGACUGUCGGGCUUGAGCACGGUAGAGGCAGAUGGAAUUCCCGGUGUAGCGGUGGAAUGCGUAGAGAUCGGGAAGAACAUCGGUGGCGAAGGCGGUCUGCUGGGCCGUUGCUGACGCUGAGGCGCGACAGCGUGGGGAGCAAACAGG